rnacentral:rRNA from 1 species
UAGGGAAUCUUCGGCAAUGGGGGGAACCCUGACCGAGCAACGCCGCGUGAGUGAAGAAGGUUUUCGGAUCGUAAAGCUCUGUUGUUAAGGAAGAACGAGUGUGAGAAUGGAAAGUUCAUACUGUGACGGUACUUAACCAGAAAGGGACGGCUAACUACGUGCCAGCAGCCGCGGUAAUAUGUAGGUCCCGAGCGUUGUCCGGAUCUAUUGGGCGUAAAGCUAGCGCAGGCGGUUAGAUAAGUCUGAAGUUAAAGGCAGUGGCUCAACCAUUGUAGGCUUUGGAAACUGUUUAACUUGAGGGCAGAAGGGGAGAGUGGAAUUCCAUGUGUAGCGGUGAAAUGCGUAGAUAUAUGGAGGAACACCGGUGGCGAAGGCGGCUCUCUGGUCUGUAACUGACGCUGAGGCUCGAAAGCGUGGGGAGCGAACAGG